GUGGCUUAGAUACCCGAGUAGUCCACGCCCUAAACGGUGCACACUAGGUCUUGGCGGAUUCGACCCCCCCAGGGCCCAAGCUAACGCGUUAAGUGUGCCGCCUGAGGACUACGGCCGCAAGGCUAAAACUCAAAGGAAUUGACGGGGGCCCGCACAAGCGGUGGAGCAUGUGGCUUAAUUCGAUGCAACGCGAAGAACCUUACCAGGCCUUGACAUGCAUUUGACCGGUGCUGAAAGGCACCUUUCCCGCAAGGGACAGAUGCACAGGUGCUGCACGGUUGUCGUCAGCU
rnacentral:rRNA from 1 species